GACGAACGCUGGCGGCGUGCUUAACACAUGCAAGUCGAACGGAAAGGCCCUGCUUUUGUGGGGUGCUCGAGUGGCGAACGGGUGAGUAACACGUGAGUAACCUGCCCUUGACUUUGGGAUAACUUCAGGAAACUGGGGCUAAUACCGGAUAGGAGCUCCUGCUGCAUGGUGGGGGUUGGAAAGUUUCGGCGGUUGGGGAUGGACUGGCGGCUUAUCAGCUUGUUGGUGGGGUAGUGGCUUACCAAGGCUUUGACGGGUAGCCGGGCUGGGAGGGUGACCGGCCACAUUAGGACUGAGAUGCGGCCCAGACCAGUACGGGAGGCAGGAGAGGGGUAUAGUGCACAAGGGGCGGAAGGCUGAUGCAGCAACGCCGCGUGGGGGAUGACGGCCUUCGGGUUGUAUUCCGCUUUCGCCUGUGACGAAGCGUGAGUGACGGUAAUGGGUAAAGAAGCACCGGCUAACUACGUG
rnacentral:rRNA from 1 species